UACAGAGGGGGCAAGCGUUGUUCGGAAUUACUGGGCGUAAAGGGCUCGUAGGCGGCCAACUAAGUCACACGUGAAAUCCCCAGGCUUAACCUGGGAACUGCGUGUGAUACUGGAUGGCUUGAAUUCGGGAGAGGGAUGCAGAAUUCCAGGUGUAGCGGUGAAAUGCGUAGAUAUCUGGAGGAAUACCGGUGGCGAAGGCGGCAUCCUGGACCGACAUUGACGCUGAUGAGCGAAAGCUAGGGGAGCAAACGGG
rnacentral:rRNA from 1 species